AAAGGUAUUAUUUAUGCAAUUGGAAUUAUGUAUAAGAAUUGUGGAAAAAGUACCUGAUAUAAUCUUAUGUUUUAUAAAUACUUGUGAUUACUCGAUUAUAUGAAAUUGUAUAUGAUUAUUUAUGUUUUCACAAAAUUAGGAUCAAGCAUGUGUUAGCAAAUGAUUACAUGAUUUUGGAUACAUAGCAUCCAUCAUUAUUAUUAUUAUUAUGUUAUGUACACAUGAUUAUGAUGAUGUAGAAAGAUGCAUGGAAAAAUAAAGUUUUCAGCAUGAUCAUGAGUUUUAUUAGCAUGAUGCCAUUAUUCACUUUCCAAUGGAUCUAUGAGAAAAGAUUUAUGAAAAGCAUGAUAUGUUUUAAGAACUCUCAGAUCGCUAUGUAUGACCCCCGCCAGUGGGUAACAGUAACUAGGCAUAUGACCCCCACCAGUGGGUAAAAGUAACUUGGCUUUACGACCCCCGUCAGUGGAUAAUAGUAACUGGAAGAUGACCCUGCAGUGGUAAAGGCCUUGCCGUGGGAAUAAGAGCGGCCAUAGCUACACUACCAUCUGAGAGUAUGAAUUUCAAAGUAUGGAAUAAUGACAAAAGUUUUAUGAUGCAUAAUCAUAUUUAUGAAGUUGCAUAAAUGGACUUGCAUAGUUUAUGACU
rnacentral:lncRNA from 1 species